rnacentral:tRNA from 1 species
GGUUAUAGCUCAGUUGGUAGAGUGCUUGCCUUGCAUGCAAAAGGCCCUGGGUUCUAUCCUCAGCACCA